AUCUACUGCUGCUCGUGACCCUCACAAGGUUCCAAAAGCGUAACAGCAAGACCAGUCAUGAGGUGCUGUUCCAUCGAUGGAAGUUUGAAAGCAUUAAGUUCAAGGAAGGAGGCCACCCAGAACAAACAUCCCCCCCUCCAAUUCCGAAAGAGAAAAUAAAUUACUGAAGACCUUUAUAAAGAAAGCAUGCUGUUUUAUAGUAGGGCACUAUCCACGCAAAGCGACUUUUACUGCAACGAACUCCUGUUUCAGACUCAGGGUGUCCAUAAGAAGCUAUUUCUGUAAUUACUUCAAUAUUUACAUAUCUAAAAAUAAGCUGCUCUUACUCAUCACUGCCACCAUAUUUUGUCUGCUGACUGAUGGAGACUGAAAGAAAUUGAAGAGCGCUGCGUCAGGAAAGCUUUGCGGACUUAUGGAUGGGGAAGAGAAGGCUACUGAACUUUUCCAUUCUCCCCUUCAGUCUAGACCUGAGGAAAACAGCAAAUGCUUCCCUCUCACACUGGUUUAUUUUUAAAACCCUACAAUAAGAGCUUCACUCAAAUCCCUAUAUUGGGUCUUUGUAGCCUAGAAGACUGACCUGACCGAGGGACUUUGCCCAUAUGUACAUACAAGCAGCUCUUAGGGAAAGAUUUAGUGAAACCUCCCUGCCAAUACAGUUCUUUUCUAUUCUGACUCCCAAGGUAGCCAUAUCCUUUCCCCUGCUGGCCUUCCUCCAUUUUAGGAGACACCCCCAAACUUGCAACCCGUCAGCACAAUGGGACUGCCAGCGUUAUGGCCAGCCAAGAAUUAAGGGAACUCUUAAUGACUACUGUCAUGGAAGGGAUCAUUUAUUACAAGGCUGCUGGGUAUCUGAGCGGGACGCUGAACCCUACAAGGAAACACUAGCACUCAUUUACAAACAGAACUCAGCAUUUUUAUUCAUUGAUUGACUUCCUGCCAGUUUUUGUUUUUUUUUCCUUUAAUAUUUGCUGUCACCAGAGAAGAGCGUAAAAACACAGUACAACAUUAUUAACCAGUUAGGAAGGCUGGAAGGGAAAGCAGAUCCCAGUACAAUUGCAAGUAACUUGGCAGAGUUGAUAAUUUAAGAUUUUUGAAUGGAUCAGCAAUGAAGCAAUAAAUAUGCUGCCGCACUGAACCAACAAGAGGGUUUUCACUAAAUUCGUGGUUUAUUGCAUUACAUUUUAUAACUGAACGUAUCCAUCAUCAUACAUUUGUUCACCAACAAGGCAAAUGACACUUUUUCAUACGUUGUGUACUAAAUGGCUAAAAUUAUGCAGUAGCUGAACCAGGCUAGAACUAGUAGAGGUAGAUAUUGAAUGGGCAGUGCCAGGCAGAAAUAUGUUGUUGAAGUACUUUUUGCCUUUUGUUAUGAACA
rnacentral:lncRNA from 1 species